AGGAAGAAGGUAUAAUCAACAGCGCAUGGCUGAAGACCAUGAUGUCGCGUGUUCAAAUCACGCCCCUCCCA
rnacentral:tRNA from 1 species